rnacentral:rRNA from 1 species
AUUACCUACGGGACGCAGCAGUGGGGAAUAUUGGGCAAUGGGCGCAAGCCUGACCCAGCAAAGCUGCGUGAAGGAAGAAGGCUUUCGGGUUGUAAACUUCUUUUGACAGGGAAGAGCAGAAGACGGUACCUGUCGAAUAAGCCACGGCUAACUACGUGCCAGCGGCCGCGGUAAUACGUAGGUGGCAAGCGUUGUCCGGAUUUACUGGGUGUAAAGGGCGUGUAGCCGGUCUGACAAGUCAGAUGUGAAUUCCGGGGGCUCAACCCCCGAACUGCAUUUGAAACUGUUGGUCUUGAGUAUCGGUG